GAUGAACGCUGGCGGCGUGCCUAAUACAUGCAAGUCGAGCGAACGGACGAGAAGCUUGCUUCUCUGAUGUUAGCGGCGGACGGGUGAGUAACACGUGGAUAACCUACCUAUAAGACUGGGAUAACUUCGGGAAACCGGAGCUAAUACCGGAUAAUAUUUUGAACCGCAUGGUUCAAAAGUGAAAGACGGUCUUGCUGUCACUUAUAGAUGGAUCCGCGCUGCAUUAGCUAGUUGGUAAGGUAACGGCUUACCAAGGCAACGAUGCAUAGCCGACCUGAGAGGGUGAUCGGCCACACUGGAACUGAGACACGGUCCAGACUCCUACGGAAGGCAGCAGUAGGGAAUCUUCCGCAAUGGGCGAAAGCCUGACGGAGCAACACCGCGUGAGUGAUGAAGGUCUUCGGAUCGUAAAACUCUGUUAUUAGGGAAGAACAUAUGUGUAAGUAACUGUGCACAUCUUGACGGUACCUAAUCAGAAAGCCACGGCUAACUACGUG
rnacentral:rRNA from 1 species